CCAGACUCCUACGGGAGGCAGCAGUGGGGGAUAUUGGGCAAUGGGGGAAACCCUGACCCAGCGACGCCGCGUGAGGGAAGACGGUCUUCGGAUUGUAAACCUCUGUCUUUGGGGACGAAAAAGGACGGUACCCAAGGAGGAAGCCCCGGCUAACUACGUGCCAGCAGCCGCGGUAAUACGUAGGGGGCAAGCGUUAUCCGGAAUUACUGGGUGUAAAGGGAGCGUAGACGGCUAUGCAAGUCUGGAGUGAAAGGCGGGGGCCCAACCCCCGGACUGCUCUGGAAACUGUAGAGCUAGAGUGCAGGAGAGGUAAGUGGAAUUCCUAGUGUAGCGGUGAAAUGCGUAGAUAUUAGGAGGAACACCAGUGGCGAAGGCGGCUUACUGGACUGUAACUGACGUUGAGGCUCGAAAGCGUGGGGAGCAAACAGGAUUAGAUACCCUAGUACAC
rnacentral:rRNA from 1 species